AACGAACGCUGGCGGCAGGCCUAAAACAUGCAAGUCGAACGAACCUUCGGGUUAGUGGCGCACGGGUGAGUAACACGUGGGAAUGUGCCUCUGGGUGCGGAACAACGUCGGGAAACUGACGCUAAUACCGCAUAAUGUCUACGGACCAAAGAUUUAUUGCCCAGAGAUCAGCCCGCGUCUGAUUAGCUAGUUGGUGAGGUAACGGCUCACCAAGGCGACGAUCAGUAGCUGGUCUGAGAGGAUGAUCAGCCACACUGGAACUGAGACACGGUCCAGACUCCUACGGGAGGCAGCAGUUAGGAAUAUUGGACAAUGGGGGCAACCCUGAUCCAGCCAUGCCGCGUGUGUGAAGAAGGCCUUAGGGUUGUAAAGCACUUUCGGCUGUGAAGAUAAUGACAGUAGCAGAAGAAGAAGCUCCGGCAAACUUCGUGCCAGCCGCCGCAGUAA
rnacentral:rRNA from 1 species